GGGGCUAUAGCUCAGCUGGGAGAGCGCCUGCCUUGCACGCAGGAGGUCGGCGGUUCGAUCCCGCUUAGCUCCA
rnacentral:tRNA from 1 species